rnacentral:misc_RNA from 1 species
GAUGAAGAACGUAGCAAAAUGCGAUAAGUAAUGUGAAUUGCAGAAUUCAGUGAAUCAUCGAAUCUUUGAACGCACAUUGCGCCCGCCAGUACUCUGGCGGGCAUGCCUGUCCGAGCGUCAUUUCAACCCUCAGGGCCCUCCAGCAGGGCGCUGGUGUUGGGGAUCGGCAGUCCCAGCGGCUGCCGUCCCUGAAAUGUAGUGGCGGUCCCACCGUGACCUCCCCUGUGCAGUACAUCGCUCGCAGAGGGACAGCGGUGCGGCCACGCCGUAAAACGCCCAACUCUUCAAGGUUGACCUCGGAUCAGGUAGGAAUACCCGCUGAACUUAAGCAUAUCAAUAAGCGGAGGA